ACUCCUACGGGAGGCAGCAGUGGGGAAUAUUGCACAAUGGGCGCAAGCCUGAUGCAGCCAUGCCGCGUGUGUGAAGAAGGCCUUCGGGUUGUAAAGCACUUUCAGUUGUGAGGAAGGUGGUGUUCGUUAAUUAGCGGCAUCAUUUGACGUUAGCAACAGAACGAAGCACCGGCUAACUCCGUGCCAGCAGCCGCGGUAAUACGGAGGGUGCGAGCGUUAAUCGGAAUUACUGGGCGUAAAGCGCAUGCAGGUGGUUUGUUAAGUCAGAUGUGAAAGCCCGGGGCUCAACCUCGGAACUGCAUUUGAAACUGGCAGACUAGAGUACUGUAGAGGGGGUAGAAUUUCAGGUGUAGCGGUGAAAUGCGUAGAGAUCUGAAGGAAUACCGGUGGCGAAGGCGGCCCCCUGGACAGAUACUGACACUCAGAUGCGAAAGCGUGGGGAGCAAACAGGAUUAGAUACCCUGGUAGCUACG
rnacentral:rRNA from 1 species